GGGAAUCUACCCUGAUCUGCGGAAUAGCUCCGGGAAACUGGAAUUAAUACCGCAUGUGCCCUGAGGGGCAAAGAUUUAUCGGUUCAGGAUGAGCCCGCGUCCGAUUAGCUAGUUGGUGGGGUAAAGGCCUACCAAGGCGACGAUCGGUAGCUGGUCUAAGAGGAUGAUCAGCCACAUUGGGACUGAGACACGGCCCAAACUCCUACGGGAGGCAGCAGUGGGGAAUAUUGGACAAUGGGCGCAAGCCUGAUCCAGCCAUGCCGCGUGAGUGAUGAAGGCCCUAGGGUUGUAAAGCUCUUUCAGUGGGGACGAUAAUGACGGUACCCACAGAAGAAGCCCCGGCUAACUUCGUGCCAGCAGCCGCGGUAAUACGAAGGGGGCCAGCGUUGUUCGGAAUUACUGGGCGUAAAGCGCACGUAGGCGGACAUUUAAGUCAGGGGUGAAAUCCCGGGGCUCAACCCCGGAACUGCCUUUGAUACUGGGUGUCUUGAGUUCGGAAGAGGUGAGUGGAAUUGCGAGU
rnacentral:rRNA from 1 species